AUUGAACGCUGGCGGCAGGCCUAACACAUGCAAGUCGAGCGGAUGACAGGAGCUUGCUCCUGGAUUCAGCGGCGGACGGGUGAGUAAUGCCUAGGAAUCUGCCUGGUAGUGGGGGACAACGUUUCGAAAGGAACGCUAAUACCGCAUACGUCCUACGGGAGAAAGCAGGGGACCUUCGGGCCUUGCGCUAUCAGAUGAGCCUAGGUCGGAUUAGCUAGUUGGUGAGGUAAUGGCUCACCAAGGCGACGAUCCGUAACUGGUCUGAGAGGAUGAUCAGUCACACUGGAACUGAGACACGGUCCAGACUCCUACGGGAGGCAGCAGUGGGGAAUAUUGGACAAUGGGCGAAAGCCUGAUCCAGCCAUGCCGCGUGUGUGAAGAAGGUCUUCGGAUUGUAAAGCACUUUAAGUUGGGAGGAAGGGUUGUAGAUUAAUACUCUGCAAUUUUGACGUUACCGACAGAAUAAGCACCGGCUAACUCUGUGCCAGCAGCCGCCGUAAGAC
rnacentral:rRNA from 1 species